AACGAACGCUGGCGGCAGGCUUAACACAUGCAAGUCGAACGCACUCUUCGGAGUGAGUGGCAGACGGGUGAGUAACGCGUGGGAAUCUACCCAGCCCUUCGGAAUAGCUCCGGGAAACUGGAAUUAAUACCGAGUACGCCCUACGGGGGAAAGAUUUAUCGGGGUUGGAUGAGCCCGCGUUGGAUUAGCUAGUUGGUGGGGUAAUGGCCUACCAAGGCGACGAUCCAUAGCUGGUCUGAGAGGAUGAUCAGCCACACUGGGACUGAGACACGGCCCAGACUCCUACGGGAGGCAGCAGUGGGGAAUAUUGGACAAUGGGCGAAAGCCUGAUCCAGCCAUGCCGCGUGAGUGAUGAAGGCCUUAGGGUUGUAAAGCUCUUUCAGU
rnacentral:rRNA from 1 species